AUCCGCAUGGGGAGUACGGUCGCGAGAUUAAAACUCAAAGGAAUUGACGGGGGCCUGCACAAGCGGUGGAGCAUGUGGUUUUAAUUAGAAGCAACGCGCAGAACCUUACCAGCGUUUGACAUCCCUAUCGCGGUUACCAGAGAUGGUUUCAUUCAGUUCGGCUGGAUAGGUGACAGGUGAUGCAUGGCUGUCGUCAGCUUGUGUCGUGAGAUGUUGGGUUAAGUCCCGCAACGAGCGCAACCCUCGCCUUUAGUUGCCAGCAUUAAGUUGGGUACUCUAAAGGAACCGCCGGUGAUAAGCCGGAGGAAGGUGGGGAUGACGUCAAGUCCUCAUGGCCCUUACGCGUUGGGCUACACACGUGCUACAAUGGCGANUUCAGUGGGCAGCGUCCGUGUGAGCGGUGGAGCGGAUAAAAUUUCACACAGGAAACAGCUAUGACCAUGAUUACGCCAAGCUAUUUAGGU
rnacentral:rRNA from 1 species